rnacentral:rRNA from 1 species
AUGGAUACAAGGCUCCUGAGGUCGCUUUCUCCUGUAAGAGAAUUUUUAAGGGCCACAUCCGUACAUAUUGAUAUCUUUCCUGCAGCUACUGUUGGUGGUUGCAACAUCCAAGGAACAAGCAGCCACAAACUACUGCAAGUCCAACCGCACACAAGGACUAUGGUGGACUCCAUGUAUGGAUAUGUCUUGAAGGAUGGUGGCCCAGUUGGAGUGAUGGUGAUGUGGGACUGCCCUAAGAUAUUUCUUUGGGAUGAACCGAAGACAUGUAUGAUAAAGAUCAUUCAUGGACAGGGCAACAAGCUUUUGGAGGAUGCACCAAGUGCUAGCACUAGUGCUUUAUUAUUGCCUGGUUUUAUAUGCAAGCAGAGUACAUCUGUGCAUGCCUAUGAUAACUUGUCCAUCACCAAUAUCCCUCCACCUCUCGACGGAUCAGGAUGGCAGAGUCUAAGAUGGUGCCGAGUCGAGAGGUGCCCCAAGCUACACACGGUCUUCAAUAUUGGGCAGGGCAAUGGUGCGUCCAGCUUUAGGCGUCUGGAGACAUUAUGGUUGUCCCAGCUUCUGACGGCAGAGACAUUUACUACGUCAAUUCUGACCUUUUGUAGCCUGGAGUUCUUGCACCUGGACUGCUGUCCCAGGCUCUUACACGUGUUCACCUUGGCCAGCAGAAAUUCAGGGAGGUUCUUCUGUAGUUAUUUGCAGACCCUCGAGAUAGUGUACUGUGAUGAUCUAAGGGAGGUCUUCCCUUUGGCCCCUGGGCGCCAAAAACAGGAUACAAUUAUAGAAUUUCCCUAUCUGAGGAGCAUCCACCUGCAUGAGGUCCCCAAGCUGCAGCACAUAUAUGGGUGCAGGAUGUGGGCGCCUAUACUCGAGACCGUCAAGAUCCGAGGCUGUUGGAGCCUUAGGCGUCUGCCGUCCGUCGGCCGCGACACCAAGCCACCCAAGGUGGACUGCGAGAAGGCCUGGUGGGAUAACCUUGAGUGGGACGGGUUGAAUAAGUACCAUCACCCUUCCCUCUACGAGCCAAGCCACUCGCUGUACUACAAGGCCGAGCUGCCCAGAGGCACCAUACUCAGGUAA